rnacentral:rRNA from 1 species
UACGUAGGUGGCAAGCGUUGUCCGGAAUUAUUGGGCGUAAAGCGCGCGCAGGCGGUCCUUUAAGUCGGAUGUGAAAGCCCACGGCUCAACCGUGGAGGGUCAUUGGAAACUGGGGGACUUGAGUGCAGGAGAGAAGAGUGGAAUUCCACGUGUAGCGGUGAAAUGCGUAGAGAUGUGGAGGAACACCAGUGGCGAAGGCGACUCUUUGGUCUGUAACUGACGCUGAGGCGCGAAAGCGUGGGGAGCAAACAGG